GACGAACGCUGGCGGCGUGCUUAACACAUGCAAGUCGAACGGUGAAGGGACCAGCUUGCUGGUUCUGGAUGAGUGGCGAACGGGUGAGUAACACGUGAGUAACCUGCCCCCUUCUCCUGGAUAACCGCAUGAAAGUGUGGCUAAUACGGGAUAUUCUGGGUCUGUCGCAUGGCGGGCCCGGGAAAGAUAUUGCUUCGGUGGGGGAUGGGCUCGCGGCCUAUCAGCUUGUUGGUGGGGUGAUGGCCUACCAAGGCGGUGACGGGUAGCCGGCCUGGGAGGGUGGACGGUCACACUGGGACUGCGACCCGGCCCAGACUGGUACGGGAGGCAGGAGUGGGGAAUGUUGCGCAAGGGGGGCAAGCCUGAUGAAGCGACGCCGCGUGAGGGAUGGAGGCCUUCGGGUUGUAAACCUCUUUCGCCAGUGAAACAGGCCUGCUCCUUGUGGGUGGGUUGACGGUAGCUGGAGAAGAAGCGCCGGCUAACUACGUG
rnacentral:rRNA from 1 species